rnacentral:rRNA from 1 species
AUUGAACGCUGGCGGCGUGCCUAACACAUGCAAGUCGAGCGGAGAUUAGGAGCUUGCUCUUAAUUUCAGCGGCGCACGGGUGAGUAACACGUGGAUGAUCUGCCCAUCAGUUUGGGAUAACAGUUGGAAACGACUGCUAAUACCGGAUACGAUCUUUUAUCGCAUUAAGGUGAAAGGGGGCCUCUAUACUAUGCUCUCGCUGAUGGAUGAGUCCGCGUCUCAUUAGGUAGUUGGUAGGGUAACGGCCUACCAAGCCGACGAUGAGUAGCCGGCCUGAGAGGGUAAUCGGCCACACUGGGACUGGAACACGGCCCAGACUCCUACGGGAGGCAGCAGUGGGGAAUAUUGCGCAAUGGGCGAAAGCCUGACGCAGCGACGCCGCGUGAGGGAUGAAGGCCUUCGGGUCGUAAACCUCUGUCAGGAGGGAAGAAGUGCAUGGGUGCUAAUCAGCCCAUGUUUGACGGUACCUCCAAAGGAAGCACCGGCUAACUCCGUGCCAGCAGCCGCCGUAAAAC